CAUUUAAAGAAAGCGUAAUAGCUCACUGGUCGAGUCGGCCUGCGCGGAAGAUGUAACGGGGCUAAACCAUGCACCGAAGCUGCGGCAGCGACACUCAGGUGUUGUUGGGUAGGGGAGCGUUCUGUAAGCCUGCGAAGGUGGCCUGUGAGGGUUGCUGGAGGUAUCAGAAGUGCGAAUGCUGACAUAAGUAACGAUAAAGCGGGUGAAAAGCCCGCUCGCCGGAAGACCAAGGGUUCCUGUCCAACGUUAAUCGGGGCAGGGUGAGUCGACCCCUAAGGCGAGGCCGAAAGGCGUAGUCGAUGGGAAACGGGUUAAUAUUCCCGUACUUGGUGUUACUGCGAAGGGGGGACGGAGAAGGCUAUGUUGGCCGGGCGACGGUUGUCCCGGUUUAAGCGUGUAGGUGUGUGUUCCAGGUAAAUCCGGUUCACUUUAACACUGAGGCGUGACGACGAGGCACUACGGUGCUGAAGCAACAAAUGCCCUGCUUCCAGGAAAAGCCUCUAAGCAUCAGGUAACAUCAAAUCGUACCCCAAACCGA
rnacentral:rRNA from 1 species